ensembl:lncRNA
GGGUAAUGGCACAGCUAGCUACUGGGUGACUUUAUUCACCCGCUUCGGCUGUUAUCAGUCCAUACAAUGGGCGUUAUUAGCACAAACCAGUCCCAUAGAUAUGGGCCAUCUCCUGCUAGAUUGUUCAGAAGGUUGUUCUCAUCCAUCCAGAUGGAGGAUCACUAACAGGAGCGUGGAAGACUCCAGAAUCCACUCUGGCUGGAAUCCGGUGGAUACAGCAGUGUUUACAGGUGUGGGGAAAAUACGUAAGACUGCAGUGAAGCGAUGCACCAGAUUAAUCCCUGGCCAAAGAACAGUUCUCCACAGUCACUGUCCACAUGGGUCAGUGGGACCAAGAAGCACUCUGCUAAUGUGGGACUCUGACCAGCAACAUCCAGCAGGACCCAGACAGCAUUUUCUAUCUCCCAGCUGGAGUUUUUGUUUGUCAGUGACUGGAGAGUCAGAUUUUUGUUGAGCUUCACACUUGCAGAGGUUAAUACACUCUACUGAUCCCUGAUGGGAGAAUCAUCAAUUUUGGCAACAAAGAAGCCUGGUGGAUGUUUGUUUACAGUCUGAUGAUGGGACAUCAUGCUCUGCAUCUUCAAAGUUUGCCUCCUCAUUAUUAUUCAUACCCAGUAAUGUGAAGUAUGCUUAUAUCUACUAUAACUGAACCAAC